rnacentral:rRNA from 1 species
GACGAACGCUGGCGGCGUGCUUAACACAUGCAAGUCGAACGGAGAUUAAGAGGAAGCUUGCGAAUCUUAAUUUUAGUGGCGGACGGGUGAGUAACGCGUGGGCAACCUACCUAUUAGUGGGGGAUAACAGUUGGAAACGACUGCUAAUACCGCAUAAGCUGAAAAAGACGCAUGUUUUUUUCAGGGAAGAUGGCCUCUUUUUAUGCUAUCGCUAAUAGAUGGGCCCGCGUCUGAUUAGCUAGUUGGUGGGGUAACGGCCUACCAAGGCUGCGAUCAGUAGCCGGCCUGAGAGGGUGGACGGCCACACUGGGACUGAGACACGGCCCAGACUCCUACGGGAGGCAGCAGUGGGGAAUAUUGCGCAAUGGGGGAAACCCUGACGCAGCGACGCCGCGUGAGCGAUGAAGGCUUUAGGGUCGUAAAGCUCUGUUGUAAGGGAAGAAUGUCGGAAGUGAUAAUACCGCUUUCGAAUGACGGUACCUUACGAGUAAGCCCCGGCUAACUACGUGCCAGCAGCCGCGGUAAGACGUAGGGGGCGAGCGUUGUCCGGAAUUACUGGGCGUAAAGAGCACGUAGGCGGAUAUUUAAGUCAGGUGUGAAAGACCGCAGCUCAACUGCGGGGUUGCACCUGAAACUGGGUAUCUUGAGGGCAGGAGAGGGAAGUGGAAUUCCUGGUGUAGCGGUGAAAUGCGUAGAAAUCAGGAGGAACACCAGUGGCGAAGGCGACUUUCUGGACUGACCCUGACGCUGAGGUGCGAAAGCGUGGGUAGCAAACAGGAUUAGAUACCCUGGUAGUCCACGCCGUAAACGAUGGAUACUAUGUGUAGAGGUAUCGACCCCUUCUGUGCCGCAGCUAACGCAAUAAGUAUCCCGCCUGGGGAGUACGGUCGCAAGGCUGAAACUCA